CCUCUGCACCCCGCGAUCACACAGGCCGGGGCAGUGCAGGUCCCCCGUGCCCUUCGCGGGACGUUCCCAGCCAGGGCAGCACGCGCUCCGCCCCCGCUCGUCAGCUGGGCAGCACGUGCGCACGCCCACCCCUGCCCACCGCCGGGAUUUCACUCCGCCCGCCUGGCCCGGGCCGGGGUUGUGUGAGGUCACCAUGUCAGGGGGAGGCGCCCCGCGGCUAAGGUUUCAGUCGCGCGCCAGGGCUCCUCUAUAUACAGACGCCACCGCCUCGCGCUUUCUGACCACUUAGCGCUCGGAACCAGACGGGCGGUUGCUGCUGAGGAGGGCUCGCGUGUGCAUGCAGAGCCCCGUCCCGUUUGCUGGCUGGGCGGGGGCGCUGCAGAGGGGGAGGCCUUUCGGGGAGCGUGGGCCAUCCAGGUAAAGGGAGCAGGAUUUCUUCUUCUGCAGGGGCAGCGGGGAGUGUGGAUAGGGGCUUAGGGUUGCUUUGCACAAGCCACCAGGAUAGCUGCUGGAGCGUUAAGUUGGGUUACCCAGUGGGUGCUGUUGGUGCUCAUUAGAAGUCUGUUGCAUUGCAAAUUGGGGAAGACCUGCAAGUGCUUCCUGACCUUAUACGUUUAAGGUUUCUUUGGGACAUAUUUUCCCCUUCCCUCACGCUGGUGUAAGUACAGUAAAUCGGAAGUUAUUUAAUUAAAAUCUGCUGAGGUCCAUCAACGUCAACAUUUAGCCCAAAGAUCAGAAGGGCCCCAAUAAAAAUGUUGCACAAGGUUGUGCUGUACCUUGGUGUGAAAGACACUUUACACUAGAGCUCAUUAUUGCCAACCUAUUUCUUUUUUUUUUCCUGUUGCUCUCCUGCAGAUUGUUCUGUGCCAGUCUGCUUGACUUUUGCCCCAGUCAGUGCCUUUGCUAUGGCAUCUGUGCCUUCAGCUGGCUGCCUCCUGGCCAAGAAUCAGUACUACAGAACUCGAUUGAAUUCUGAAUCCAGUGUUUCAUCAGGUGGUUCAUCCUUCUGUUCUGAUCCCGUGAACUUCUCAGACCAGGAUAAAGCCCAUCAUGGGUUACCUGAAUUAUUUGAUAAAUGCUGGUGGAUAAAAAACUUUUUCCAUUCUGAACCAUCUUCUUCUCCAAACAUGAAUGGAAAAACGUUAUCGACCAGCAGUGUUGCAAGUUGACUUUACCUGCAGUGAUGUUACAUAUAUAGAUUCAUUUCUCUAAAGCUCAGGGUCUUUCAGAUGGCUGCAUUCAGCUGUGUGAAGAAAAUAUACUGCUUGAAACUUCACUUCCACGAGCGAAAGUAGAAUUUCACAAAGAUUUGUCAGUAGCUUAAAUGGUUUUGCUUAGGCAGGCAUAGUUUCUACCUACGCUGUCUGCUACUGAGUUGUUAAUGUUCGAUUAAAUCUAUUUUAAAUAUUUUUAAAUGAAAAUUAAAUGGAUUUAAUAUCCUAAUGACUAGCCCAUAUCACUGGAAGAAAUGACAGUAAAAAGUAAGAUCAGCAUAAAGUGGCCAGUGAUUAUCUAGGUUUUAUUUCUGUAAGUUGAAAAGCUUCUGUGGACUGUCAGUGUCAAAAUUUUUCAAGGGUGCUGUGACUUAAAACAGAAAAGUUUGUGUUUUGAAAUGUCUAUUCAGUAAGUAGUAUUUUUCCAUAAGUUUAAGUUUUACUAUAUCAACUAUGCUGACAUCAAAUGGAUAUAAAUUAGUUUCAGAUUAACAGAUUCCUGUUAUAUAAUGGAUCUGGCACAUCUUUCCCAAGUGCCAGGUAUAGCAGUUACAUACUGUUAAGGAAGUUUACAAACAAGUUAAUAGGUUUAAUACCUUUAAUUGUGGAAAAUUCUAUUAAACAACAGUCAUUAGCUCUGUCCCCUUGUUAUGGCUGAAUAUGGAUUCUGACCUUAAAUACAGAUGUGUACUUCUCAUUCACAUGCAUGCACCUAAGUAUUUGAGGACAGAAAAUGAGGACUUCGUAAAUAGUCUAACUUUCAUGGAUUUUGACCUUUUGAUGUGCAACCAUAUUUCACUUUUUUUUAAUACUGUUGGUUAAAGAGCCUCUUGUUAUGUAUUAAGUGCUCUCUAUAAACUAACCUUAUUGUAUGUGAACUCUUUGACAGUUCUGUUAUUAACAAUUAUCCCUGUCCAUUAAAUAUAUUUUUACACUAAUCAUGAUUUCCCUUCUUAAAGGAUCCUAAGCCGCUUAAAUUAAUUAUUAAUAUAAUCGCUUCACUCAGUGAUGAAUUGCAGCCCUUUCUGGUGUGAAGUAUGGUAGUUUAACAGUGCACAGUUAUACAACAGCAGUUAUGUUUUGUGAGGCGGAUGAGUGAAAUUGCUUAGGUGGAGGGGGAAUUGCAAAUAUUUGGCUUGAGCAUUUCAUAUCCAUAAGUUUCAGGACUAUUUCUCUAUGCAACUUUAUGAUGUAUCAGGUCUGUUCAGGUCAUUUACUGAAUUUAUCUGGUACAUUUUUAAGCACUUCAGGUAUUAAGUAACAAUGUAUCUUUUUAUAGUAAACAUGUAAACUUUAUCAUGACAUACAGAUAGUGCUAUAGAUGUCCAUGGCACUUGAGAAAAUAAUGAAGUAAUCCCUGCCCCAGAAAGUUUAUAAUGUAGCUUGAGACAGUAUACACAGGUGAGAACAAGGAUGAAGACAACUGUUAGAAGAAAUAGUGUGCUGGAACUCAUUACAUGAAAUAUAAAAAAGCAAUUUAUCUAUUUGUUUGUUUAAAAUGAUUGCAUCUUUUGAUCUUAGAAUUAUUUUAAAUGUAUGUUAUAAGCUACUCUAUUUUUAUACUAAAAUUUUAUAUUAAUAAAGUUUAAUUAUUAUGAGGUCUGAAAUGUUUC
ensembl:lncRNA